rnacentral:rRNA from 1 species
UACAGAGGGGGCGAGCGUUGUUCGGAAUUACUGGGCGUAAAGGGCGCGUAGGCGGCCACCUCAGUCGGACGUGAAAUCCCCGGGCUCAACCCGGGAACUGCGUCCGAUACUGGGUGGCUAGAGUCCGGGAGAGGGAAGUGGAAUUCCAGGUGUAGCGGUGAAAUGCGUAGAUAUCUGGAGGAACACCGGUGGCGAAGGCGGCUUCCUGGACCGGAACUGACGCUGAGGCGCGAAAGCCAGGGGAGCAAACGGG